rnacentral:rRNA from 1 species
CCUACGGGUGACAGCAGUGGGGAAUAUUGGACAAUGGGGGGAACCCUGAUCCAGCGACGCCGCGUGAGUGAAGAAGUAUUUCGGUAUGUAAAGCUCUAUCAGCAGGGAAGAAAGAAAUGACGGUACCUGACUAAGAAGCCCCGGCUAACUACGUGACAGCAGCCGCGGUAAUACGUAGGGGGCAAGCGUUAUCCGGAUUUACGGGGUGUAAAGGGGGCGUAGACGGUUACGCAAGUCUGGAGUGAAAGGCGGGGGCCCAACCCCCGGACUGGUUUGGAAACUGUAUAACUGGAUGGCAGGAGAGGUAAGUGGAAUUCCUAGUGUAGCGGUGAAAUGCGUAGAUAUUAGGAGGAACACCAGUGGCGAAGGCGGCUUACUGGACUGUAACUGACGUUGAGGCUCGAAAGCGUGGGGAGCAAACAGGAUUAGAUACCCGUGUAGUC